UUUUUUUUUUUUUUUUGUCUUUUUUGUUGUUGUUGUUGUUGCUAUUUCUUGGGCUGCUCCCGCGGCAUAUGGAGAUUCCCAGGCUAGGGGUCGAAUCGGAGCUGUAGCCACCGGCCUACGCCAGAGCCACAGCAACAUGGGAUCCGAGCCGCGUCUGCCAGCUACACCACAGCUCACAGCAACGCCAGAUCGUUAACCCACUGAGCAAGGGCAGGGACCGAACCCGCAACCUCAUGGUUCCUAGUCAGAUUCGUUAACCACUGCGCCACGACGGGAACUCCAACUUUUUUUUUUUUUUAAGGCCUCAUCCAUGGCAAUAUGGAGGUUCCCAGAAAGAAAGAAAGAAAGAGAGAGAGAGAAAGAAAGAGAGAAAGAAAGAAAGAAAGAAAGAAAGAGAGAAAGAAAGAAAGAGAGAAAGGCAGAAAGGCCAGUUAAUACCAACUGGGUAGUUUUUAUCCAGUACUACGGUGAAGACAAAGAGCUUUGAUCUUAGAUGACUGUUUUCUUUUUCCUUUGACAGUCAUACAUUCCUAGAAUUAAAGAAAAUCAGAUACAUUGAAAAUAACAGCUUAUCCUGAGAAAUAUUCAUUCUAUCUCCAUUUUCACCAGAACUUUCUGACGUGUAAGCUAGUUCCCUGAGUAGCUCUGUGCAAAGACAAUGAGAUCUGCCCUGUGGACAUGACUAGCUUGUUUCCAAAAAAGUGGUAUCUUCCUUUGUAAUGGUGGCAAUGGUUUGGGCAUGUACUUACUGGCAACAAACCACUAAACACAGUGCACCUUGGGAGGAACUGACAAAAAACAAAAACAAGUUUCUAGACCAACAAAAGUGUGGACAAAAUCAUGGUCCAUGAAAACCCCAAUAGCAUGGCUUUGCCUAAAACAACCACCCAGUCUGUGUCCCUCAGAGUAAAGCACAGUGGUUUUUAGAAAAGGGCUCUCGCAGUAGACUCGGGUUUGAAUUCUGGCUCUGAUGCUUAGCAGCCAUGCAACCCUAGGAAGUUUUUUAACUUCAUUCUACCUGCAUGUUCUUAUCUGUAGAAUAGUAAUAGGAAUAGAACAGCCAUAGUUUUAUCAGUAGAAAUAGAACCUUUAUAUGGUAUCGUAAAGCUUAAGUGAGUUAAUAAGGAAACUCUUAUUAACAGUGCCUGGCAACUUCUUAGUCCUCAAAAAAUGUUGGCUAUUAUCAUUUUCUCUUAGUCCACAAGCAGCUCAGUCUUUAUUGAUUAGUCAGCCAUCCUAUGAAAGCUUCACUAAUGUGUCAUUUUAUUUUUCAUUUACAGGUCUCCAAGAAAUGAUAAAUAGACAGAGAAUGCUACUUAAAGUUCAUGCCUGACUCAAGCCCAUAUUCAGCCAACCUUAAAUCAGCUCUUCAAGCUUUAGUGCUCAGCCUGUUAAAACAUGUGCUUAUUUUAAUUCCAUAAAUUGAGUCAAAAUUCCUCACUACAAAACUGAAGUGAAACAGUUGUACGGUCUCUUUCCCACACUCAAAAGUUGACUGAUAACAACAAGAAAAAAUGCUGGCUUUAUGUUUCAUUAAGAUGGUGAUUACCAAAUCCUUCAACCAAAUAUUUUGAAUACCUCUUGGAGCAGGACAGAGCAGAUAUUUAGUAAACAGAGAAUUUCAACUUUAUGACUAGCUUCAACCAUUUCAAUGUUUCAGUGGACUUGUGAAGAAAAAAGUGCCAAAACCUCAACAGGGCAAACAUGAAGACAACGUUAAAGCAGAUUGAAAAAAUCAGUGUAAGGAUAUCUUUAAAAAAAACACACUGCUAAGGAAACACAUGUAGUGUAUCUAUUUAGCACCUAUGGCUAUACAUGGUUUUUACCAUGAGAUGUACAAAGCAGUUAGCUCUUGGAAAUUUUUAACUAUCUGCUGUAUGCUUUCUAAGCUUUCUGCAUUUUGAAUAAGAAAUAUGUACUUAGAAUAAUUUCACGUUAUUUUCAUUUUGGAAAAGAGAGAAAUAUAAACAUUAACAUAAUUUUUGGAGUCUUUGAGUGUUCUGAUAUAUGAUAGAGAAAUGAAAUGAUACUUUUCCUUUCAAAUAAUCAGUGUGUGAUGAUUGAUGGUCUGACUCCUUUGUGAACCCUUGGAAAAUCAGAUGGAAAUGACCUUGAAUUAGGUAGUAUCUGUGAAAUCGAAACAGUCCAAAAAACAGGCUGCUAAAUUACCACCCCAGUACCAUGGAUUACAUACUCUGAACUAAUCUGAAACUAGAGUGGAAUUCAUUGGGAAUAUCAGUUCCUUUCCAAAGCAUGGGGUUCCCGCCUUAUGCUAGCUAGGAUCACUUUUAAAAUACCACCGAGAUAAACAAUGUCUUUCACUUAUGAAUUCCAACGGAUUGCAAGGAAACUUUAAAGUCCUAGCAACACUGUUGCUAUAGCAAUGCAACCUGAUUAGAUAUUCUUAGCAACCAGCCACAACUCACACCCACGGACUCCUUUCAUUUAUUCCAAGAAGAAUAAUGUUGAUAUUUCAAUUUCUAAACUAUACAGAUCUCAGUGGCAGACAGCUAUGGAUGAAAGGUCUGUGAGAUCCAAUGGAUUAGCAAAUUAAUAAAAAUAAACUUGGGGCUUGGACCCAUCCUACACGUAUACAAUAAACACAUAUAAAAGUGUAUUCUACAUGGCUAAAAAUUGAAGACGGAUUUCAUUUGGCUCUUGGAAUAUAUGCAAACAAUAGCAGAAUCCUUGAAUUUCAUAUUGUAGUAGCUAAAGUUUACACGCUUCUCAAGUAGUAUAUUUCAUACUGAAUUAAUAGAGGUAACAACAAAAUUACAUGUUUGCAACCAACAGCAGCAAUGUGACAUUUUGAUUCUGAAGAUUUCAUCAGAACCCAUAUCACACUUAAAAAAACACAGGCACGAUUGAGAGUGAAGGUAUGGUUAAUUAUGAGGUUACAUAGCAGAAAUGUGGCCUUGAUAUCAUAUACACUUAAGCCUGAGCUGAUACAAGGGACUGACAGAGUUACUGCUCUGAAGGACAGGGUCUGUCACAUUCUGAGCAGGAGAAAAUCUGAAGACUAAUAUUCUGGAGUUAUCCCCGGGCUGAUUCUAAUCAGGAAGGUCAGAUGCAGGAUCAGAUCUAUGAAGGCUCAGAAAAGACCACAAGAGUCCAGAAGUCUACAAAUAUGACCCAUGGUUUUAUAAUUAAAUAAAGGAUGCUUUUCUAUAAGCCCAGAUCCUGAGUCAUUCUGUUUUAAUAUGGAAAAGAAACCAAUUACAUUUCUGCCCUUUCCUGAAUAGCUACAUUCUAAUGGUUAAUAAUCUAAUCUCUCUCUAUCUGCAGUUUACAAAUGGAGGAGUGUGGUGGGAAGAAAUUAAGGUGAAAAAUAACCAGAAGCGAAGAGAAGCUUUUCGUUGUUGUUGCCAUUGCCUUUAGAAGUUAUUAAAUUUGAGCCAUGGAUAUGAUAUUAUGAAAAUAAUUACUCUCAGCCAAGUUACAGAAUUAGAAAGCCCUUUUGAGAGGUCUCCAGUUUUGAUGAAGUAUCCAAUCUAUAUAAAAAGCCUACAUCAAAACCUUUUUGCACAUCCCUUUAUAACAAUUUAAUAUGUUCUAAAAAAGUCAUUAAUGUGCACAAAUUCAUGGAUAGAGGAACAUUCAUCCCAACGGUCUAAAUUAGAAACACUUAAAUGGAAAUUCUAAAUAUAUAAAAAUGUGGCAUUAACUAAAUUAAUUACAGUGUUUUUUAUCAUGAAAUACUGCUCCACAGUCUCCUUACCUAUUUUCUUGCAGCCUGAAAAGUACCCCAAAAAUCAAAAACUUAUAUACAACUUCAUUGGCAGAAAAACCUGAUCUGACCAGAAUUCAUUUAACACCAAAACCUAAUUGGCAGUGAGACUAUUCAGAGGCUUUAUUUAUCUCACAGAGUGUGAUUAUUCUUAUGCUUCACUGCAGAAAUAGUCAUGUGUUGGAUUACAAGGUGCUGCCCCGGACACUGCAGAAAAUGUUUCCUAAUAUGUGAAUGUAACCAUAUUAUGUUUCAAACGUUUAAAAAAAAAAAAAUCUGCAUUCUGUACAAAGAGUGGUGGACGGUGGUCUACCUGGUAGUCUGUCUGAAAUGCUCUCUCCUUGACUUGUUCCUUCUCAUUCUUCAGGUCUGCUCUUGAUAAAUCGCCUUUAGUUGGUGUCCAUCUAUCAGGUCUAAAGAGAACCCCUGUGGUUCUUCUCCAUCAUACAUGCUGUUUUAUUUCCUUCACAGCACUUAUUACAACCAUUGGUUAUCUCAUUUGUUUCUUUGCUUGCAAGUCUAGUGACUGUCUCCCCAUCACCAGCUCCAAGAGGCCAGGGACCUUACAUGCCUAGUUCACAGCAGUGUCCAUCCCCCAUUUCACACCCACAUCAGGCACCCAGUCUGAGCUCUGUAUGUAUUCGUUGAGUGAAUGAAUGAAUGCGCAAACAAAUGAGUUUUGUAAAUAUAUAUGCAUUAAAAACAAACAAACAAAAAAACCCCAAUAUUAACAAUACAGUGGAAGUAGGGGUGUUUUUCUCUUUGGGGGCUUAUCUUUACACUUAAAAUUUUUCUGUGGAAAAAAAAAAAAAGGAUUCCUUUUGUAACAGCAGGAACAAUUUUUAAGGGGACAGCAGAUGAGUGAUUAAAUUGAUUCGCAUUACACCAAACACUUCUCUGAAAGCACAUUUAUUACAAAAAAGUACACAGUGUUCCUGCUAUCAAGAAUUUCUUCAAGGCAGGAUAACACAGUGCAAUUCCCCCAAAAUGGGAAACCAGGCAAAAUAAAAGUGAAAGAUAAAAGUACACCUCUCUAGCGGCUGCACAAUUUCAAUUCUUUUGAAUUCCCAAUUCUUCACCAUGUGUGGAUUCUUAUGUUAUUUGUUCUCCUGCCCAAUUCUCAAACCAAAGCACUGCCAUUUUCUACCACAAGCAUAACAGAGUGUGCGUGUGCAUGCAUGUGUGUGUGUGUGUGUGUGUGUGUGUGUGAUCUCUCUCAAAAACAGGGCUUUGAAAAACAUGGAAUCUACCAAAAAGUUUGGGUUCCUUAAUGAAGACAGGCUGACAGUUAGAAACACACACCAACUUCGUAAAGGUAAAACAUUUUUAAAAUACAAAAUGAGGCAUUUCCAAAAUUGAUUUAUCAGACUGAGUUACUAUGGGUUAUCUCACCAAGACAUAAUUCUAAAUUAAUUCCAAAGACCCCCCCUUUUUUUUUUUUCUUCUGGCUGCACCCAUGGCCUGCAAAAGUUCCCAGGGCAGGGAUCGAACCUUGCAACAGCAGCGACAAUGCCAGAUCCUUAGGCUGGCUACCAGGGACCUCCUUGAAUUUUUUUUUUCCAAGACCAUUUUCUUAACCUCAGAAGUUUAGCUCUGAGCAAGAAAGAGUACCCUCCAUCCUCUGACUCAGCUAAAUGCAGGCUCUAGAACCACAGGACGUCUGGAAAUAGAAAAGCUCUAUUACAUUAUAUUACAGCUACAUUUACACAAAACAUUCUCACUACGCUUUCUUCAACCUCUAGAUUUCAGGAGAACCAUCCCUAAAUAUCCUGGUGUUUGCAGCCUUUUAGCACACUCUUUUGUAUUUUUUGUACCUUUUUCAGAUUAACAUUUGUGCCCAUUGCUUUGAAGUUAGAGGUACUUCAACUAAAAAGGUAUCCAGACAGUAAAGAAGCCCAUCGGAAACAGAUACAAUUUUAAAAUGAUGAAUGUCUCUUUUAAACCAUUUCAGACUUUUCGGACCUUGUAGUUUCCAGAAUACACUUAAACCAAGGAAUAGCAUGCAUGUGUCAUCAUUUUGAGGAGUCACUUGAUACCACUUCGAUGCAUCUUAGUUCUUGCUGGGAUUCUAAUAGCAGCUCAAAAGACAAAGCAUAACAAAACCACUCACCAGAACCGAGGCCUCCUUUAUCUGCAUGUCUGCGUGAUUAUAAUUAAAAAUCUUUGGUUCGGGCAUGGCAGAAGAAUCUGUUCCCAAGAGCCCUCCCUGUAGACGACUGUGGGCAGGUGUGUUGUAUUGUUAUUUAAAACAUGCUGUUUAGAACACUGAAUUCUUUCUUGGAGGCCCCUUAAGUGAGGCAGCUGAAGACCAGCAGCUGCAAGUGUUUUGCUUUAUCCUGCAGCUUGUCAUUGUUAGCUCUGGUCACUGAGCCCUUUUCCCUAGUGAACAGGCUGGGUCUGUGGGGCAGCUGUAGGGGACUGCUCCCAUUCACCACCUAGACAUGGAACAGAGAAUCCCAGCCCCACUUCUGCCAAUGGCCAGCAAGAAUGGUGCUUACUUUAAGUAAUGGAGACUCUGAGAGAGUAGAUGAUAAAAUUAUCCCAUUAAUGAUACAAAAUGAAAAAUAACCAUUUCAUUCCAUUAGGUGUUCUCUCCACAUAAUAUUGGACUCAUGUCUUACAUUUCUACUUAUGGACCUCAUU
rnacentral:lncRNA from 1 species